rnacentral:rRNA from 1 species
UACGUAGGGGGCUAGCGUUGUCCGGAAUCAUUGGGCGUAAAGAGCGUGUAGGCGGCCCGGUAAGUCCGCUGUAAAAGUCAAAGGCUCAACCUUUGAAUGUCAGUGGAUACUGCCGGGCUAGAGUCCGGAAGAGGCGAGUGGAACUCCUGGUGUAGCGGUGGAAUGCGUAGAGAUCCGGAAGAACACCGGUGGCGAAGGCGGUCUGCUGGGGUCGAACUGACGCUGAGGCGCGACAGCGUGGGGAGCAAACAGG